rnacentral:rRNA from 1 species
UACGAAGGGUGCUAGCGUUGUUCGGAAUCACUGGGCGUAAAGGGCGCGUAGGCGGCUUUAUAAGUCGGGGGUGAAAGCCUGUGGCUCAACCACAGAAUUGCCUUCGAUACUGGCGAUCUUGAGUCCGGGAGAGGUGAGUGGAACUGCGAGUGUAGAGGUGAAAUUCGUAGAUAUUCGCAAGAACACCAGUGGCGAAGGCGGCUCACUGGCCCGGUACUGACGCUGAGGUGCGAAAGCGUGGGGAGCAAACAGG